CGGAGUUUAAAUGUUAUCACGUGACAGCCCUACCUGGGACACACCUGUCACACACUAAAACCCUCAGCCCCGCCUCUCCUGUCGCUGUCCUGCUCUGAGGGAUUCAUCACACCUGCACAGGUGCUACUGAGUAACCCAACCAGCCCAGAAGGUGCGACACUUUUCCAACCUGCUUCUGGGUGGUGUCAAGCUUUCUGAUUGGUCGACAGUCUGAUGAUGUUUAUUAAGGGAUUGGAAUUAGAACCAGCAACCCUGUAAUUAUUUAAAGACUCACAAAGUCCAAAACUGAAUCACUAAUGGAGAAGCAGUGGAAGCAGAUGGACAGGUAGGUUAGCAGGUGGACAGGUAAGCGGGUUAGCAGGUGGACAGGUAAGCAGGUUAGCAGGUGGACAGGUAAGCAGGUUAGCAGGUGGACAGGUGGAUGAGAGGACAGGUAAGCAG